rnacentral:rRNA from 1 species
GUACACUCCUGCGGGAGGCAGCAGUGGGGAAUUUUGGACAAUGGGCGAAAGCCUGAUCCAGCAAUGCCGCGUGUGUGAAGAAGGCCUUCGGGUUGUAAAGCACUUUUGUCCGGAAAGAAAUCCUUGGCUCUAAUACAGUCGGGGGAUGACGGUACCGGAAGAAUAAGCACCGGCUAACUACGUGCCAGCAGCCGCGGUAAUACGUAGGGUGCGAGCGUUAAUCGGAAUUACUGGGCGUAAAGCGUGCGCAGGCGGUUUGCUAAGACCGAUGUGAAAUCCCCGGGCUCAACCUGGGAACUGCAUUGGUGACUGGCAGGCUAGAGUAUGGCAGAGGGGGGUAGAAUUCCACGUGUAGCAGUGAAAUGCGUAGAGAUGUGGAGGAAUACCGAUGGCGAAGGCAGCCCCCUGGGCCAAUACUGACGCUCAUGCACGAAAGCGUGGGGAGCAAACAGGAUUAGAUACCCCUGUAGUCCCAUG